UGAAAGCACCAAGAAAAUGUGCAAUAACAAUGGCUUAGCAAGAUGGAUUUCUGCUGAUUCUUCAACUCAAAAGCAAAACAAAACCAGACUCAGGCUGUGCAGGGCCAGAGGGGGCUCCCCAGAACAGGCACUGGGCUGCACACACUUCUUCUGCCUGUCAUUCCAUCAGGGUCAGGGACGAAGCCCUCCACACACUCCUCAUGUGUGUGCACCUGAAUGUCUGCAGGAGAGCUGCAAGGGACCGAGGAGAGAUGAAGAAGCAAAAGGAAAAGCAGAGGUUCCAUGUCCACUGUUUUCUUGGAGUAAAACUUCUACCCUCGUGUUACCGGCCCUGAUAUGGGUACUGAUCGUUCUAGGUCUCAGUUGCCUUUUCUGCUGUGAUGAAGAUACCCUGCAAAAGCCCUGGGCCCAGCUCUUGAAAUAGUACACCACAUUCACGGCAAGUCUUCCCACCUCAGUUAACCCAGUGACAGAAAUCUCCCACAGAGAUAUCCAGAAACCCCCAUUCCAGUGGCAUUAAUGAACUCCACCACUGAGAUGUCAUCCAACACCAGGCUGCUAUGGAAAGGACUCAGGAUGCUUAGUGUUGUCUUUAAAUUUUUGAGACUUUUGUCUAAGAAAUAUAUCCAUCUUUAACAUUU